AUGAAGAGGCCACCUCUCAUAUCACAUAUCUCAUCAAAUCUAAACCUUCAUUGAUCCCGUCUAGGUAUCUUCUCAUUCUCCUCCUCUGAUUUUGUUGGUUUCAUUGAAAGUUAAACUACUCAGUUUAAACCCUCCCGUGAAUAUUCCAUUUAGUUUCUGGUAAAUUCUUCCGCGUGAAGUGCUGAGUACUUGAUUUCAUGAUGUUGUUUUGAGUUUACGAAAAUGAUGUUUGAACAGAUUAUAUUUUGUGAAUUUAUUGAUGAUCAGUUUUUUCAAAGGUGCUGGCUGAUAGAAUGAUUGGAGAGAGAAUUCUGCAAUUAAUUUGAUCUCGGGCUGCAUGUCACUGUUGAUGUUUGGAACAGGGGCUUCCUUGGACCAAACAGGCUAUCCUUACGAGUCUGUGUGGACAGGAGCGGGUCAAUUUUGUACGUUUCAUGUUAUGAAUCAGAACCCAACUCUUCAUACUUGGCAUGCUAUGCUUGUAAUUAAACAGUCUCUUUACCAUUUAGGCAAAAUGUGUAGCAAUCAAGUGAUAACAUUAUUGUCACAAUUUUCCUUUUCUUUAUAUAAAAGUGAAUCCAAUAUGUUAAUUUUAUGAGGGAAGAGCUUCCCUGCAACAUUCCUCAGAUCAAGGUUAAAAAAAUAGUUCUCCUUAGCCCAGUCUAACUGAUUCAAAUUGUCUUCCAUUGUCCCAACUGAAGAGGAGAGCCUGCUAUUUUGGAAGUCAGGUUUAAACAUUUUUCUUCAUUGGAAUGAAGAAAAGGGCCGGACAGUUUCCUCUAAUUUCGGUCUUACGGCAUGUGCCUAACAUGUACCCACCCGAUAUGAAAGUUAUGUUUGAGGUCAGUGCAAGUGUACAACAGUAAAUUCUAAAGUUUAAAAGUGAGACGGAACUGUAUGUUUUGGAUUGUCUGAAAUCUACUGAGGAAGAGUUUUGCAGCCC